UGGAUGAGAAAUGUCAUUUGAAUUUUCUGU
rnacentral:piRNA from 1 species